UGUAAGAAUGCGAAGCAGACGACCUUUCCUUGUGGUAUAUUGUGUCCAAUAUGUUAAGUUUUCUUGGCAAUAGCCCCUUGAACUCAAUUAAUAGUUGGCUUUGAAUUACCUUAACUUCAUGGUUGCUUUUGCUGGCGGUACCCCAAAGAUGGAUGCCUUAAAAUGCUUGACGCGAAUCUUCAAUUUGGACUGCCUGCCGAUCAGCCAGUAUAAUUUUUCACCGUUUUUUCUGCCUAUGUGUCCUUUUGCGCAAA
rnacentral:sRNA from 1 species